GGCUCUGAGUGUGGUCUGACCGUGACAUCAGCAUCCCACUGAUUACCAGGGUUGAUUCAACUGAUUUGGCUGGCUGGUCUGGGGUCCAUAUACUUCAUUCAAAUCCUAAAAGCUGUGCAUUGGCGGAGGAUGACCUCCCCAGGGAGACCAGAACCACUUAAUUUUUGUCAAAUGGAAAUGAUUUUUUGCUUUUAGAAUGCCUUGAUUUGACCAGUAACUAAAGGUUGAACUGCUAUAAAAUCAAAGGUAAAAUUGUUUAACCAAAAGUCGGUUGCAAUCAUGUUUU
rnacentral:sRNA from 1 species